rnacentral:rRNA from 1 species
GAAGGCAAGGCUACGGCUCCUGAAUGUAUCUGAUCUCAUCAGAUUCUGGAAGCUAAGCAGAGUCAGCCUGGGUGAUUAUUUGGAUGGGUGACCAGGAGAGAACUCUUCGGAUCUCCAUCU